AAAGAAUUUACUUGAUUUUCAUGAUUUGAAAUAGUGGUAUUUCAGUCAUUUGGCCAAUGAUUCACCUUUAAAAGCCUUGUCAGGUUGAAUUUCUUCUGUGAAAAUAGCUGACUGAAAUACAUUUAGAGAUUUUUGAUUUCUCCAAAAUUCAGUGGCUUAGAAUGGCAACAGCAAGGUUAGCUGGUCUCCACCUCCUGGUAUCCAGGCCUUUGCCAGGAUGACAUGAAGGCUGGGAUUUCCUUCGUCAGCAGGCAUCUUCGCUCACAUGCUGGAAGGUUUUCUUCAGUCUCCUCCAGUUACUCUGUGGAGAAGGCUCUUGUUUCUUCCUGUGAACCAAGGAGGAGAUGGACCCAGGCUCCGUUUCAGUUCCUCUGCUGCAUCUAUAGGUGUUUGUAUUGGAUGUGUCACCCUUCUUCCCAAAAUAUUUUCCUCUUUUGAAUUUCCUGUUUCAUACGCAGUAUAGGGUGGAAACCUAGUCAUUAAGAGCCCUUUCUAUCAUGUUGUUCUGACUUCUUUUCUGUUUCCUCUAUUUAAUCCAUAUCACAUUAUAUAAAUCUCUAAGAACCAUGAUUUUGGAAUAUAACUCAGUGGCACAGUACCUGCCUAGAAAGUGCAAGUUCCUGAGUUUGAUUCCUGGUACAAAAAACA